GCCUUCGUGGUGUAAUGGUCAGCACACUGAGCCGGUAGUCAGUGGUCCGCGGUUCAAUCCCCGGCGAAGGCA
rnacentral:tRNA from 1 species